rnacentral:rRNA from 1 species
GUUAGAAAUAUAGCUUAUAAUUAGCAAGUAUGCAUAACUAGUAUUACCCAAACNAAACCAUUUUUUUAUCUAAGUAUAGGUGAUAGAAACGAUUAUUAACGCAAUAGAUAAAGUACUGUAAAGGAAAAAUGAAAUAAAAAUGAAAUAAUUUUAAAACACAAAUAAGCAUAGAUUAAUUCUUUUACCUUUUGCAUCAUGGUCUAUCAAGUCCAACCUGGCAAAAAGAACUUAAGUCAGACACCCCGAAACUAGACGAGCUACUCCAAAGCAGCAAUAAUAGAGCCAACCCUUCUCUGUGGCAAAAGAGUGGGAUGACUUUCGAGUAGAGGUGAUAAGCCUAUCGAGCCUAGUAAUAGCUGGUUGCUCAAGAAAUGAAUUUUAGUUCAGCUUAGAAUACACAGAUUACAUCAAUAAAUAAAAUAAUAUUCUAAAGUUAGUUUAUAGAGGUACAGCUCUAUAAAUAAAGGAUACAACCUACCUAUGUGAAUAAACUUAGACAAAGAUCUUAAUUAAGUAGGCCUAAAAGCAGCCACCAAAUAAAAGCGUUAAAGCUUAGUUUUUUUAAGCUUAAAAUGUCAUUAACUCAAUCUAAUUCACAUUAACAAUUGAGCCAAUCUAUCAUUAUAGAUGUGUUUAUGUUAGAAUGAGUAACGUGAAAUACUUCUCUAAGUGUAAGUAUAAAUCAAAACGAACCCAUCAUUGAUAUUUAACGAACCAUAUUGAAGGUAACAUCUAUUUUAAGCAAGAAAUUUUGAUUCAAAAAAUCGUUAACCCAACACAGGAACACUAAAGAAAGAUUAAAAGUCAAAGAAGGAACUCGGCAAAUACGAACUUCGCCUGUUUACCAAAAACAUCGCCUCUUGUUUCUCCUAUAUAAGAGGUCCUGCCUGCCCAGUGACANAUUGUUAAACGGCCGCGGUAUCAUGACCGUGCAAAGGUAGCGUAAUCACUUGUCUUCUAAAUAAAGACCGGUAUGAAUGGCAAAACGAGAGUUCAACUGUCUCCUUUAACCAAUCAGUGAAAUUGAUCUUUCCGUGCAGAAGCGGAAAUUUAAAUAUAAGACGAGAAGACCCUAUGGAGCUUAAAAUAUAAACCAUUUAUAAAAUAAUAUACCAAAAGGCUAAUAAUUAACAUAAAUUCUGGUUAAAAUUUUNAGGUUGGGGCGACCACGGAAUAAAAUAAAACUUCCGAGAUGAAAUUAUAAUUCAAGGGUAACAACCCUAAAAAAUAAAACAUUUAACAUAAUUGAUCCAAUAUUUUGAUCAACGGACCAAGUUACCCUAGGGAUAACAGCGCAAUCCUUUCCAAGAGUUCUUAUCGACGAAUGGGUUUACGACCUCGAUGUUGGAUCAGGACAUCCUAAUGGUGCAGCUGCUAUUAAGGGUUCGUUUGUUCAACGAUUAAAGUCCCACGUGAUCUGAGUUCAGACCGGAGCAAUCCAGGUCAGUUUCUAUCUAUAUACAAUUUCUUCUAGUACGAAAGGACCGAAGAGAUAGAGCCAAUGUUCAAAUACGCUCUACUACUACUAUUGAAAACAACUAAAAUAGUAAAAAGUUAAAAUACUACCCUAAAUAAGGGCUA